UACGUAGGUGGCGAGCGUUGUCCGGAUUUACUGGGUGUAAAGGGCGAGUAGGCGGAUAUACAAGUCAGUAGUGAAAUCCCAUGGCUUAACUGUGGAACUGCUAUUGAAACUGUGUGUCUUGAGUGAUGGAGAGGCAGGCGGAAUUCCCGGUGUAGCGGUGAAAUGCGUAGAGAUCGGGAGGAACACCAGUGGCGAAGGCGGCCUGCUGGACAUUAACUGACGCUGAGGCGCGAAAGCGUGGGGAG
rnacentral:rRNA from 1 species